rnacentral:tRNA from 1 species
GGAAUUGUGACUCAGUGGUAGAGCGUUUACCUGGCACAUGUGAGGGCCUGAGUUCAAUCCUCAGCACCA